rnacentral:rRNA from 1 species
AUUGAACGCUGGCGGCAUGCCUUACACUUGCAAGUCGAACGGUAACGGGCCUUCGGGUGCCGACGAGUGGCGAACGGGUGAGUAAUGUAUCGGAACGUACCUUUCAGUGGGGGAUAACGUAGCGAAAGUUACGCUAAUGCCGCAUAUCCUGUGAGCAGGAAAGCAGGGGGUCGCAAGACCUUGCGCUGAUUGAGCGGCCGAUAUCAGAUUAGCUAGUUGGUGAGGUAAAAGCUCACCAAGGCGACGAUCUGUAGCGGGUCUGAGAGGAUGAUCCGCCACACUGGAACUGAGACACGGUCCAGACUCCUACGGGAGGCAGCAGUGGGGAAUUUUGGACAAUGGGGGCAACCCUGAUCCAGCCAUGCCGCGUGAGUGAAGAAGGCCUUCGGGUUGUAAAGCUCUUUCGGCCGGGAAGAAAUCGUAUCAGCUAAUACCUGGUGCGGAUGACGGUACCGGCAUAAGAAGCACCGGCUAACUACGUGCCAGCAGCCGCCGUAACAC